UACGGAGGGUGCAAGCGUUGUCCGGAAUCACUGGGCGUAAAGGGCGCGUAGGCGGCUCAUGAAGGCUGUGGUGAAAGUCCGGGGCUCAACCUCGGAUCGGCCGUGGCGACUCGUGGGCUGGAGCACUGUAGAGGCGGGUGGAAUUCCGGGUGUAGCGGUGGAAUGCGUAGAGAUCCGGAAGAACACCAGUGGCGAAGGCGGCCAACUGGUCCGGUACUGACGCUGAGGUGCGAAAGCGUGGGGAGCAAACAGG
rnacentral:rRNA from 1 species